rnacentral:tRNA from 1 species
GGCAAUGUGGCGGAGUGGUUAUCGCGAUAGACUAGAAUGAAGAUCGGGUUAACCAGCCCGCCAUUACUCAAAUCUAUUUCCUUCGGGAGCACAGGUUCGAGUCCUGUCAUUGUCG